rnacentral:rRNA from 1 species
AUUGAACGCUGGCGGCAUGCCUUACACAUGCAAGUCGAACGGUAACGGGCCUUCGGGUGCCGACGAGUGGCGAACGGGUGAGUAAUGUAUCGGAACGUACCUUUCAGUGGGGGAUAACGUAGCGAAAGUUACGCUAAUACCGCAUAUUCUGUGAGCAGGAAAGCAGGGGAUCGCAAGACCUUGCGCUGAUUGAGCGGCCGAUAUCAGAUUAGCUAGUUGGUGAGGUAAGGGCUCACCAAGGCGACGAUCUGUAGCGGGUCUGAGAGGAUGAUCCGCCACACUGGAACUGAGACACGGUCCAGACUCCUACGGGAGGCAGCAGUGGGGAAUUUUGGACAAUGGGGGCAACCCUGAUCCAGCCAUGCCGCGUGAGUGAAGAAGGCCUCCGGGUUGUAAAGCUCUUUCGGCCGGGAAGAAAUCGUAUCAGCUAAUACCUGGUGCGGAUGACGGUACCGGCAUAAGAAGCACCGGCUAACUACGUGCCAGCAGCCGCAGUAAAAC